rnacentral:lncRNA from 1 species
GCCUGGUCCGGUAUGAAAUGAACUUAUAAUCAUGGAAUCGACUCGAUCAUCAGAUUAUAAGUUCAUAACCCUAACCCAUUCCCAUUUUGGGCAGAACAUUCUACUAAUUCUUUGAUUCCAGUUAGUAAGAGGGAUCUUGAACUAAGAAAUAGACCCUAGAAGCUAAAAAAGGCUAUCCUGAGCAAUUGUCCGAUUCGAUUCGCUUGCCUCGAAGACUGGUAUUAGGCCCAUACUGAUGAUAAGAUUGAUUCGAAGCAAAGUCAAUGGUCCCUUCUCCGCUACGGGAGAUGCUAGAAGAAGAUAAGCACUCCGCUAUAUCUUUGAUAAAUAGGGUAAAGGAGUAACCUUAUAGAGAGUAGUAGAUAGUAGGUAUUGUAACCUUGAUAGGACAGAUCUAUCGAUAUUCUAUGCUUGAAUAGUAAUGGAAAAGCUUGGAGUAAAGGAAGAUUCCGAUAAAGGAGUGAGUUAAGAUAGCCAUAGCUAUAGUCAAAGUGGAUAGAUGCCUAUAAAACCACUAGGAGAAGUAAGAGUAUCGGAUGAUGGAUCCGGAAACUUCCAAUUCUAUAAGCUGGGGAAGAGCCCUAACUAGGAGGCUUCUAGCUUACCAUCUAUAGUAGGCCUCGAAACCUUUCCAUAUUCUUCAUUCUUCUACUCCAGGUGAAAUACCAUC